AUUCUCAGGUUCAGAAGCGUGAUGAUUGGGUGUGCAUGCUCCAUGCAUGACCUGUGCCUCCAUUGAACACUGUUAUGAUAUCAGCACAUUACCAAUAUGACG
rfam:Cavia porcellus supercont2_10 genomic scaffold, whole genome shotgun sequence.